UCUAAAACCUGAAAGCGGGAAAGUCCGGUGCAAUUCCGGCGCUGUGCCGCAACUGUAAAAGUCAGAAUGCCGAUUUCGGG
rnacentral:ncRNA from 2 species